CCGCCCCUUCAUGACUCACGGGCUUUUACAAGAGCGCAGGAGUGACAGCUCAAAGCUGUCCACGUCAACACUGAACACAGCGAUGGACUCCGGGGCUCUGGAACCUUCUCUGUACACAGUGAAAGCAGUCUUCAUCUUGGAUAACGAUGGAAACAGACUGCUUUCAAAGUACUAUGACCCGGAGUUGUACCCCUCAAUGAAGGAGCAGAAGAAUUUUGAGAAGAAUGUCUUCAACAAAACACAUAAAGCAGAUAAUGAAAUAGCCUUCCUGGAGGGCAUGACCAUAGUCUACAAGAGCAGCAUAGAUUUGUUCUUCUAUGUGGUGGGCAGCGCACAGGAGAAUGAGCUCAUGUUGAUGGCAGUGCUGAAUUGCUUAUUUGAAUCACUCAGUCAGAUCUUGAGGAAAAAUGUAGAGAGACGAUGUCUGCUGGAUAAUCUGGAUGGAGUCUUUCUGGUGGUGGAUGAGAUCAUUGAUGGGGGGGUGAUCCUGGAGAGCGACCCUCAGCAGGUAGUGGAGAAGGUCAACUACAGGUGUGUGUCGGAGCAGGCCUUUGGCUUUGUCCUCUUCGAUUACAUCACGGGUAACAUGGAGGGCCAGGGCCAGAAGAGCCAGCUUUUAUAACUCACAGAGACCACCCCUCCUCUCCUCCUCCUUCUCCUCACAGAGAGAGAGGGCUGUGGGGGGAGGGAGAGAGGAUAUGGUCAGGCUGAUGACAACCCACUAUCAGAGCAGAGUGUGGCUCAGGUGUUACAGUCUGCAAAAGAACAGAUCAAGUGGUCAAUACUGAAGUAAUCUCCUUUGCCAUGAGAGCAGACCUGUAAAUGAUCUAAAGGGAAUGGGAAGCAUUGUAGCUAUGCAGCUUUGUUUAUGAAACUCUCUAGGCUAAUGAAUUGUGAAAGUAGCUGUUUUUGUUAUUAAGCCAUUCAGACUUGAAUGCUUUGUUAAACAGAUUAUGCUGUUAUGAAACUACAAAAGAGGCCCAGUAACUACAUAUUUUAAACUGAAGGGCAAUUAUUUAAUAAGUUUUCUUGGAUUUUGAAUUGUGGUCAGUAAAAGCUGAUCUGGUUUGCACUGAAUAUUUCCAACAUGCCUGCAUAAGUCUCUCACAAGCCAGUGAGGUUAACUGAGCUGUAAAAAUUAGUACUCAAAUCUGUAUGGCUUUUGUGGCAAACUCUGUGUAAUUAUUUAUUAUUUUAAGCGUCAUUGCAACUAGGGCCACUUUUUCUUAUUGUAAGUCAACUCAUUUGGUGUGUUAUUUGCAAUUUAGCGAUGCAACUGUUUUAAUGCACAACAAAUGUCACUUUUUGAUCUGUUUGUCAUGAGUGUGAACUAUUUAAAAUGUAGAUGCAGUUAAACAAGUGGCAGUAUGUUACAUUAUGUUACAUUAUGUUAUCCAAAUGCUAAUGUUUUGACUAAAAUAAAAACAUGCUCAGAAACCAAAGAGUAUAAGAAAGGGAAACUUGGUAGUUUGAGGGGUCCAGGAAAAAUGGCACAGAACAUUUCUUAAUCUGAUCUGAACAGAUGUAAGUUUGUAUAGUUAUGAACAUCUAACCUACCUAACCCAUUUAAUAUAUUUUUUACAUGUAAUUUUCAUAUUUGUUUUCACAAUCAAAUCUGGAUUUUCUAUUACUUUCUACUUACUUACUACUUAGUAAGAUUGAAAACUUAAGAACUCCCCUUUGAAAAAAAUAGACAGAUCUGUGUUCAAGCUUAGAGAGCAUUUGCACCAAAUUAAUGUCAAAUUGAUUAAUGCUAAGUCAAGAAUGUUACUGAAGGAAUAUAUAUAUAUAUAUAUAUAUAUAUAUAUAUAUAUAUAUAUAUAUAUAUAUAUAUGUAUGUAUAUAUAUGUAUAUAUAUAUAUAUAUAUAUAUAUAUAUAUAUAUAUAUAUGUGUGUGUGUGUGUGUGUAUAAUAUUCAUACUACAUGAUGCCUCUUGGCCACAUUUAAUAAUACCUAGUUGUAAUAAGUUGAAAUAAAAAUGUUAAAACAUGCUGUUUUUGGACCGGUAGCCUUACUCCAGCUAAAACAGUUGCAUUGCAUUACGACGCAAGCCGUUUUUAUUUUGGUGUUAUUUUAGUGUUACCUCCCAUUAACAGUGUGUGAACAGACUUUUAUUUAGGAAACAGUUUGAACUUGCUCCUUCAUAGAUGUAACAGACAUUAUUGUCACUAGAUGUUAAUAAAUAUUAUUUUGGUAUGAUG